GCGGGUGUAGCUCAAUGGUAGAGUUCUGGCCUUCCAAGCCAGCUGUGAGGGUUCGAUCCCCUUCACUCGCUCCA
rnacentral:tRNA from 1 species